GACGUAGGGGGCGAGCGUUGUCCGGAUUUAUUGGGCGUAAAGCGCGCGCAGGCGGUUCGGAAAGUCGGGUGUGAAAACCCGGGGCUCAACCCCGGACCUGCAUCCGAUACUCCCGGACUGGAGGCAGGUAGGGGAGAGCGGAAUUCCCGGUGUAGCGGUGAAAUGCGCAGAUAUCGGGAAGAACCCCGGUGGCGAAGGCGGCUCUCUGGACCUGUCCUGACGCUCCGGCGCGAAAGCUAGGGGAGCGAACAGG
rnacentral:rRNA from 1 species